UACGGAGGGUCCAAGCGUUAUCCGGAUUUAUUGGGUUUAAAGGGUCCGCAGGCGGGAAAAUAAGUCAGUGGUGAAAGCCUACAGCUUAACUGUAGAACUGCCAUUGAUACUGUUUUUCUUGAGUAUAAUUGAAGUGGGCGGAAUGUGUCAUGUAGCGGUGAAAUGCAUAGAUAUGACACAGAACACCGAUUGCGAAGGCAGCUCACUAAAUUACAACUGACGCUCAUGGACGAAAGCGUGGGGAGCAAACAGG
rnacentral:rRNA from 1 species